rfam:Mesitornis unicolor contig29006, whole genome shotgun sequence.
AAAGGCUCUUUUCAGAGCCACCCACAAAAUCGUAAAGAGUUGCGU